rnacentral:lncRNA from 1 species
AAAAAAAAAAAAAGUGUAUAUAAAUUUACAAAAAUAAAAAAUUUGAUUUGUAAUACUUUUUAAAAUAUUCUUUACAUUAUGGUAACAAUUAAAAAUUGUUUUGGUCAUUAAUACUCACUUUUAUAUUUUUCUAUUUUUUCUAGAAAAUUUUAAAAAUAGCUCUUGAAAAAUAUAAAAUGAGUUAAAAUGUAUUUUUUUUUUAUUAAUUUUCAACUUCAUUUGAAUGUGUUUUGUUUCAAUCAUUCUUUAUAUAAUUUACAUAUUUUAGUAAAUUUAUUUUUUUAAUAUGUUUUUGACCACCUGGAAUUUGCUCAAUUAAAAUAGUUGAAUCGAUCGGUUUACCAGUUAGAUCGGUUAAAUCGCUUCCAAACCCAUGUCCGGUUAACCGGUUAGCUUUUGUAAACACUGGUCUCUUGUUUAAGAUAUUUUCUUGUUCUUUAUAUUGAUGGGUAAGUGGGAAUCGAAGAAUUUUGAGUUGUGUUACCUUUUAGCAUGGUCCCUAUGCAUGCUUUCAUUAUUGGCACUUGAGUUGAAAUAAUUUGUAUUCUACUUUCUUCACGGGUCCUAAUUACCGGUGAGCAGAAAAACAUCGCGACUACAAAAGCACCUCUCAAUGAUUGCUGCUAUUUGAAACCUGUUUUCGAACACAUUCUAGAGAGAUAAUGUGCACCUAGAGAGAGAAAAUUCUGUAGAGGGUGUUGGAGAGAGAGAGAGUUUAGAAAAAUAUGUGCAACCUUUGUUUGUAAAACUCGGCGAGUCAAACCGGAACCUAGCACUAGCCUAUUUGGAUUUUGGCCAUUUUAGUGUUGUGACCGGCUAUUUUAAAAACUUCAAAAAAUUUAUAUAAAAUCUCAAAAGAUAGAGGAUUUGUUUUUAAUAUUUUUUUUAUCAUUUUGAUAAAGAUUGGAAAGUAUUUUGACCAUAAAUAUUUAUUUAUAUAUAUAUAUUUUUUUUUUUUAAUUUUCAAAAUAUCUCUAACACAAAUUGAUGGGUUUUUAGUAAAUCAUUUUUUAAUAUAUUUUUUAAACUUUUUUGUAUUUUUUUAAUAUUUUUUAGACUGGUCAAGACAUGACUUGUUUACUCGAAACCAAACUAUCGGCCAGUUUUCGAGGUAGGAGAACAAUAUUAUGAUCAUCAUGACUAGAGAAAACCUGUGGUCACAUGGGUCAUCACAAUUCAAUAAAUGGUUAAGUUGUGAAGGAGAUCGCUUAGGAGAAUAUUGGGAAAAGGCUCUACCAGAGUCCACUCCCUUAUCACUGUUCAAUCAUCCAUUAGACGAUGAUGAUUCUUUUGACUGGUCAUAAAGUUUAUAGUAUUAUUUUCCAAAAAGAGGCUGAAAGCCUGUAUGACGUGCUCAUGUGAUUAACUCCAUCGGGCAAAAGAGUUAUUUCGGAGAAUUUUUUAGAUCUGAAAUUCUAGGGUCCACUUAAAAAUCACAUUAUGAUCAUUUAAGGGGUGCGGUUUUUAUAGAGCCGAGGUUCUAAACCAUCGAAUUAGAGUCCACUUUCAAAUAGUAUCGAGAAAUGUGGUUUGAAUAUUGGAAAUCUUUGUGAUAGCCUUAAAAUAUAUUUCCAUCUUUAAUUAUACAAUUUAAAGGUUAAAAAAUAGUGUAGAUGGAGCAGAUUUAUGAACAUUUAAAAAUACUAAAAAUUGACGGUAAAAAAAUACGUUACAAGAUGCACUAUUUUCAAAACUUGAAAUCCAUUUUUUUCUCAUGUCCAAGCAUGUUGAUGUCGAGAUAUUCAGUUUGAGGAUAUUUGGGCACCAAAACAACCUCUUCUAAUAAAAUUUUUGAGUCGGGCUGUAAUUUGAUUGUUUAGAGCCUGAGCUCUAUAUAAAUUUUUCCCUUAUUUAAAACAAUAAAAUUGGGAGUCAAAAACAGAUUCUCACCACGUCAUUUGAUGGGGUAAAUACAUCCUUAAAUUUUUGGGGUCUUAAGAAUACUUCUAGUUUAGGGUUGCAUGAUAAAGAACGAACGGCCAGUACGCUCCAGUCUCGGUAUCGGUCAGUGAUUUAAAAAACGAAUCGGUGAUCUAAAUCGAGCAUCCAAAAAACCGGUUUAGAUCAGUGAAUCGGCGAUCUGGAUAGCCGUUUUACUGUGCUAAAAAAAGUAGUGAACUUGCAAAAAGCACAUGAAAAAACAGCGAACAUGUCAAAAACCGAUCCAAAGAGUGAAUCUGUAGUUCGAACCCAUGUUUUGUUGUGCGGAACUGCCGGUUCCCUUUUUAAACUCAGCCAUUUUCCUAUACAUAUGUAGAACUUGAAUGCGUGACCAAUUUCUAAUUCAGAUCGAUGAUUCCGUACCAAUCCCCUAUACAUAUGUAGCAUUAGAAUGCGUGACCAAUUUCUAAUUCAGAUCGAUGAUUCCGUACCAAUCCCCUAUAUAUAUGUAGAACUAGAAUGCGUGACCAAUUUCUAAUUAAGAUCGAUGAUUCCGUACCAAUCCGAUGUUUUUUAAAUCAUCGAUAUCGAUACAUAUUGUGCAAUCGUAGAAUUAUCAUGGAAAAGGAGUAAAAGCUGACCAUGCUACAAUGAACAAUCAGGUACCGAUGCUAUGUUACACAAUUUGUCUAAAACAUAGCGAUACACACGAGGGUUGAUGAGAAGACCUAUAGUUCAUAUCCACCGUCCAUCAGGAACAAUGGAUGGCUGAUAUGCUGAUGUGUAUCGGUACACAGUAACAGUACACAAUAUACACACGCUCCCUAGAGCAUCAUGGAACCUGAACUUUUCCGAAAUUCCCUGAAACUUUGAAGUUUGAACAAAGUUUAGAAUCCCUUUGCACGCGUACCUAGAGAGAGAAACACAGGGGAUCCUAGAGAGAGAAUCGACCAAAGUAGCGAUGAGGUCACGCGGCCCAAAAUUUAUGCUCCCGUGAGGCACUCUCACAAGACGUAAACUCCUUUUCCCGACGAAACCCAACAGCUUUGCCGAAAUUUCGUGAAAAUUCUGCACGCCGCCAUGUUGAGGUUCGAGCCUUUCUUGGGCCUUGCCCUAUGCGGCCGAGCCACGAUUGGACCGCUCUGUGUUCGGGCACGGAACCCAAACAUGGGCCUGCCGGCCUGAGCAACCUAUAAUCGACUCGGUGUAAUUCACAAAAAUUGGGUAGGUUUUGGUUCGGCAAAAAAUUAUUAAAAAAAUAAGAAUAUAAAGGAAAAAGUUUAUCUAAUGUUGCAACUUUAAAAUGUAGAAUUAUAUAUGCACCUCAAAAAAUCUACCAUAAAAAAUUGUUUUACUAUUGAAAAAAACAUCUAAUUGAUCGUCUAGACAUUAAAAAGUAUGAAUAAGAAAAAAAAAAAUUUUGAGUUCCAAAAAUAGUGCAUCUUGCAGUACAUUAUCUACACCAACCAUUUUCAAGAUUUUCAUAUAUUUAUAGAUCUACUUGCUUUCAUCAUUUUUGGAGUUUAAAAUUUUGUAAUUAAAUAUGAAAAUAGAUUUUAAGAUAAUCUUAAGAAUUUUUUUCAACAAAAUUACGUGUUAUGAUAAUUUUUGGAGGUGCGCCUUAAUUGGAUUGUUUAAGGUUGCAACCUUGUAAAAACCACACCCAAAUAUAAAAUACACUCAACAAAUAUGAAGAUUGUGUUUGUGGUAAACUUAAAGAACAAUUGUUUCAUGCGGGCCAUCGCAUAAAACAAUAUGCGCUCCUAAGGUAUAAAGCAUCCAUCUUAAAGAUGGACAUAAAUAGGUGGUCCAUCCAAAACAAUUGUAACUAAAGAUACAAAUAUUUUUUUAAUAUAAUUACUAUUUCUGAUUUUCAAUUUUUUUUCAUAAUCAUGAUCUUCAUGUUAAAGAUUAUCCAUACCCUAAAAAUUAAGAACAAAUUACAUUUAAAAAAUAUAUUUAUUCCCAACCCAGCAUUUUUACAAUAUGCAGGUUGGCUGCAUGCUAACCGCACCCAAACUUAAAUGAAACACAUCUAAAUCAAUGGGGGUAUUUGUGAAAUGAUCUAGGAGCACCCAAACUUAAAUGAAACACAUCUAAAUCAAUGGGGGUAUUUUUGAAAUGAUCUAGGAACAUUCUAAACAUAUUUCAAAAAACAAAAAUAUAAAAAUAAAUAUUCAUGGCUCACACACCGUCCAAUCUUUACCAAAAUGAUAGAAAACAUUAGAAAACACAUUACAAAUAAGUUUCUUAUUUUCUUAAAUUUUUUAAAUUUUUUCAAUUCUUUUAAACAGUUUGGAAUUUGACCACAAAAACUAGCUAAAACUGGACCGGCCAAAUGCCAGUUCCAAGUAACCUGGCCGGUUCCAAUUCUACCCAGCAUGGCUAUCGAAAACUGGAACAGCUAACAUUUUAUUUUUCUUUAGAUUUUUUCCUUGUUAUUAUUGGGAACCUGGUCCAAGCUAGGUCGGCUAUAUCCCUGUAAGGAGGAGCGGGCUGUGGCCUACAUUACUUUGGUGCAUGCCCUAUGCAGUACCUCAAGUUGUAAUCGUGUCUGAUCUAGUUUUUUGAAGGAUACAAAGCUUUUCAAAAAUUGAUCGAUGAGCCAACUUAGAAUCGCUCGAUUAGGUUCAGUCCCACGAUGAGAUAAAAAAAAAAAUACCAGAGGUGUAGAUUUCCAAAUCCCCCAACCCAACCCCAAUCUCAACCUUACAUUUGGAUUUGGAAACCACAAUCGGGCCAUCACCAUUUCAUCUCUGGAAAUAAGGUCUAUAAAGUUGUCAACUUUAUACUACAAAAGUGCGGCAAACUUCAAAAGUCCGUUGGAAAAGAUUGUUCUUAUAUCAUUUCAAUCUCGAGAUUUAUAGAUACAACAAAGAGUAAUGAUCCUAUGAGACCCUCCCGCACCCAUGUGUAAAGGAUCUUAAAGGAUCACCAUUAAAUUUGGCACAGAUCUCUACAAAAGUUAUUACAUGGGUGUGGGACUUGAUUUUUUUAGAGAUCUGUGCUAAAAUUAAUAGUGAUCCUUUGGGGUUCUACACACAUGGGUGUGUGAGGGACUCAGAGGAUCAUUACUUUACAAAAAUACGGUCAAGUCUUAAAAAUAAUGCAUGUUGUAACACAUUAUCAUAAUUGUCUACUUUCAAGAUUUUAAGUAUUUAUCAAUCUACCUAUUCUGCACUAUUUUUAAAAAAUAAAUUUUCAGAAUUAGGGUUUGAAACAGAUUUUCUAGCCAUCAUUUAAGCUAUCCAUAUUAAAAUUACAUCUUCCAAUAGGGUUUGAAAGUGUACCUUGAUUUGAUUGUUUAAGAUAGGUUUGAUUGAUAUAUUCAUAUAGAUGCAAGAUUCCCAGCAUUGAGCUUUUCGAAUUACUACUUCGACGUUUAUAUAUGAGUGGUGAUAGAAUAAAGUUUUAUUUAGAUUAAGAAACAUGAAUUCACAUUAACAUUAUAGCCAGAAACAAAAAUAGGUUAAAAAGUUUUACAAAUGACAAAAUUAACAAUAACUUUUGCUGUGCAUCAAAAUUUAAACUCAAAAUUCAUUGCGGUAAUUAAUUAAUUGAACUUCUAAUCUCUUGUCAAAUUGACCAAUUAAACUCAUGUUUUUAUAAUCAAUUUGAUCCCCCGAUCCAAUUGGGGGCAGACGCUUGUAAAAAUAUCAUUUGGAUUUAAGAAAAAAUUGCUUGGAUUUAUCUAUAGUUUAUUUUUUAUCUCCAAAAUUACGUUUUAUUUCUUCAUUCAUCUUGAUCCACCCGGAAUAGGAUUUGAUUUGUUCAUAUAAAAUAUUUCUUCUGCUCAAUAUUUGCCUUAUUGAAAUUUUAUGGCUUAUUUUGGAUAAAAACAUGUUUGUUUUCUAAUUCAAAUAGCUAAUUUUACUGUCAAAUUUUCAUACAUACUAUUAUUAGAAAAGUCCCUAUCACAAUAAUAACAAAAGCCAUAAAAUAUUGUGAUAAAUUUAUUUUACUAAGAUUUAGCCAUAAUUGUUAGUAAAAAGUUUGUAUAAUGUGUUAACCUCGUACUAUAAAAAAAAGUUUACCUCAAAACUCAGCAGAAAAGGCUAUUUUGAUACCAAAAAAUCUUCCAAAAAAUAAUUUCGACCCUAAGAUGUAUCGAUGUGAAAAGAAAAAAGUGGAUUUCAAAACCUAAAAAAAGUGCAUUUUGUAAUUUAUUAUCUUAAAUACCCAUUUCCAAGAUUUUCGAGUAUUUAUAGAUCUACUACUUAAUUGACACUCUUUUUUAAACCUUAAAUUUCAUAAUUAUAUAUGGAAAUAGAUUUAAGGACUAUUACAAAGAUUAACGGCAAUCGAACCACGUCUUUCAGCAUCAGUUCAGAGUGCACCUUACUCUUAUUGUUUAAGGCGCCAGCCUUAUAUAAAUUCCACCCAAAAUUGUUAUUGACACUAGAACUCUAUGAUAAAAAAGACAAAUUCAAUUUAUAAGUAACUGGCACAAAGUUACUUUUGGAGAGAGAGAGAGAGAGAGAGUUCUAUACUUGUGACAACCUCACCAACCAAUAAGCAUCACAAAUAAUGAUGGACACGGUUUCUAUGAGUCCAUGUAGAAAUUUCACUUCUGAAAAAUCUAUUUUUAAGAUGGAUUUUUGGACUUAAUUUUUAGGGACAUGUUAUCUCUAACAUGGAGAUGAAAAAAUAAAAAAACAUUUUAAAAAUUAGAAAUAAAAUUCUAUUAAUAAAACAUUUGGACCAUUAGUUUCAAUUGUUUUUAGAUGGACCACCUAUUUGCAUCUAUCUUUAAAAUAGAUGCUUUAUACCUCGGGAUCGGGACCGCAAAUGUAGAAAUGCAGUCCCCGCAGCCUGAAACAAUUUUCCAAUAAUGAUUUAUGUUUAAAACACAUUGUACUUCCUCAAGUAAAGAGGUGCUAAAGAAAUGGCCUACAAUUUUGGCAUCUAUUUGAUUAAUCACCACAUGAACAUUUUUUAAAUUGAUAGACCUGAAGUUCCUAAACAUUUACAUCUAAAUAUCUAAAGAAAAUUGAAUGGUUCUCUGUUCAAUCUUUUAGGACGUUAUUUCUUCAAGCACAUGUAAUAACACAUGUUUCUUUUUCUCUGUUCUUUUGUAAAAGUUGGUUGAUAGGUUUGAGGAUGUUACAUCCUAGAAAUGCUCCUAGGCAUAUUUGUACCCAAAUGAUGGACAAUUUGCUCGGAUCGGAGCAUAUAAUCUUUUGGCAAAGAAAAUUAACUCAGUUUCUAGAUAAGGAUCACAUAAAACGCGCACCCUUAAGUUCCUAGAAGGCUUUAACAUAGCUUCAGACGUCUGAUAUCUGCAGUGGACGACUGGGAUGUCGUUCCAAAUCUGCAGACUUUGAGAAGAGAAGCAAUACACUUUUUCAGUUACUUAUUGACAUCCAACAGCUGGGUGAAGUUAAAGCACUACAGUAAAUUUCAGUGUGCGUAUAGAAUACUUUUAUCUAACAAAUUAAUCCUUAAUCCUGUGUGUGUGUGUGUGAGAGAGAGAGAGAGAGAGAGAGAUUCCUAAACUAACAUCUCAACAAGUUAGAAGAAAAAAUUCACUUUAAGAAAAUAUACAUUAUUUUUUGGGAACCAAAUGAAAACUUAUCAGAAUCAGUUAAAUUAACCAGUAAAUCCUCUGAGACUCAAGAACAAGUUAACUGCACCACCAUAGAUUGGCCGGCAAUCCAAACCUUUCACUGGCAAGCCUGAAAUCUGACAAUAAACAAAAAAACAAAGAAACACUUUCACUUUCAUGUAAAUAGAAGAGCUCUAAUUAACACAACAAACAAUGACAACAUGAAAAAAAUGAAACAUAUCAAAUCUCAUCCAUCAAGAAAGAGAGAAGUGAAACAAAAUUCAGAAAGCGAUGUUACCAUGAGCUAUGGGGUGACCAAAUGGCACUGAUGUAUCGUAAACUUUUAUACAUUCAAUUGUGCGAAAAAUUCAAGAACUUUCAUCUUUGGGGUGAAGUGUUCAAGCAAUGCCAAAUUCUAUGCGAACACUGUGGAGUCAAUCUGUACAAGAUUGGGAAAGAUUUCUCGCAGAUUAGCCAUAUAAGCUGGUGAGUCUGCCUGCAUAAUGCACAAAAUGAAAGAACAUAAGUAAAGACCAGAGAGUCCGAGCCUCGGACUUUGUUACAAUGGGUUAAGUAUAAUCCCAAAAAGAUCAUGGACACCUCUCUCUCUCUCUCUCUCUCUCUCUCUCUACACACACACACACACACAACGAACACUACGUACGACGACGUCUCCUCCCUCCCUCCCUCCUCUUCGUUGUGUGUAGUCGUACGUUACGUUACGUACGUACGUACGUACGUCNNNNNNNNNNNNNNNNNNNNACGAGAGUACCGUACGACCGUCCGGUACCGUUACGUUUACGUUAACUAGGUUAAGGUUAAGUAAUACCUAAACGAAACUACACUACGACGACUACCUCUCUCUCUCUCUCUCUCUCUCUCUCAGACACACACACACACACGAAAAGAUCUUCGAGAGCUCUCCCUCCCUCCCUCCAUGUUUGUGAGUGAGCUAUUGUACUGAGCUCAUUUGAAGUCUGAAACUUUCCAGAUAAGAAAGUGAGAAAGGCAAAGAACCAUACACAUGGGUUGUGCUCAAGGUAAAUUGUAGUCAGCGUCUCUGUGGAACCAGCAACUGCUUUACCAAUCCCUUCUAAUGAAGCUAUUUUGUUGUCAUUAAGCCAUAGGUCCUCCAAUCUGCAGAGCACAGUAUUGCUAUUACAUGAACACAAAGGCAUGCAAAUCUUCAAAAAGGAAUUAAAAGAAAAUAAGAACACAACCCAAUGUUUCAUAGGGAAAAAAGAAAAAAAGCGAUUCUCACUCCAACAUUACAUAGGGAAACAAGAAAAAAGUGAUUCUCACUUUGUCAGGUUCUCGAUAUCAUUCACAGCCGUAAGCUUAUUUGAUGAAACAUCCAAAACCCUGAGAUUUUCAAGGGUCGAUAGGCCUUCCAUUUUCUGAAUACCAUUAUGGCUCAAAUAUAGUUCUUCCAAGGCAAUACAGUGCUGAGAAAUAUGACAAAAACAUCGUUACAUUAAAGAAAAAGAAAAGCAACCAUUACAUACCUAUAGAGGAUUUCUAUCUUGUACCACUCCCAUAAGAAACAUUUAUGCUUGCUACACAUUUUUCGCUAAAUAAUGCCCAUAGACAUCUGUAGUGAAACAUCUUUUGCUCCUGUAACUUUCUGUAAUUUAGUACGGCAGCAGUGAAAGAAUCAUACAAAUAAAUGGUAGACAAUUAGCCAUUGGAAUGCACACCAUAUCUUUCAAAAAACCUACACCCAUAGAAAUAAAAAAAAUGUUUCAUAAAGUAUUUUUAUCAUUGCAUUUGGCAAAUAAUGGAAAAUUCCCCAACCUAAAAAUAUUUUGGAACACAAUGCUGGAGGGCAUUCAUUGUCAAAAAAAUUUCAAACAAAUUUGGCUAAGGAAUUCCAAUAAUUUUACUCUGGGUCUAGCCUAGUUUACAUCAUGUGAUACACAUAUAUAUUUCACUGGACACCAUACUUAAUAUGCACUCAUAAAUAUCCAUAUAUUUACAGCAAACUACUGAUAAAAAAAUUUAUUCUGUCAAUUUUAGGUGUUAUUUUUCAUUAUACUUCUUAAGUGUGAUCUAGCUAACUGGGUCUACCCUAGUUUUCUUCAUGUGAUACACAUAUAUAUUUCGCUGGACACCAUACUUAAUAUGCACUCAUAAAAUAUCCAUAUAUUUACAGCAAAAUACUGAUAUAAAAAUUUAAUUUGUUCAUUUUGGGUUUUAUUUUUCAUUAUACUUCUAACUAUAAUCUAGCUAAAUGUCAAUAUUAGGGAAAUUGAUAAGCUUCAGGAAAUCCGAUAUGGUUAAUCAAGCCUUAAAUAGAUUCUAGAACUGGAAAUACACAUGGAGCAUCAUGUAAGUUUAGAAGACACUCACAGCAAUCUGCAGAUCACAUAUAUGAAACUUUAGUUAUAUCAUAUUCAUUAAGUGGUCAGUCCGCUUGGGAAUUCAGAACAAAUAUUUAAAAGUAGUCAAUUAAUUCAAGACAUCUCAUGAAGUUCUCGAUUAAUUAAGGAUAAUCAAAUGAAGAGAGACAAAGAAGUAUGGAUAGAUAAUCGAAGAAAGCGAGGCAUAUAUAUAUAUAUAUAUAUAUAUAUAUAUAUAUAGGAAAAAUCUGGCACUAGCCCACUAGCUCAUAUAAACAUAUGAGCCCAACGGCCCAAAUUCGAUCUGAAGAUCACGGAUGUCCGGUAAUGCUUGAAUUUUAUUUAUUUUUUUACAAAUCCAAAUCACUUGAAAUUUUAGAUAUGUGUUCUUCUCAUCAAGGCGCACCUAAUAAAAAUAUAAAAAAAACUUAUUCGUGAAAAAAAUGAUCANNNNNNNNNNNNNNNNNNNNNNNNNNNNNNNNNNNNNNNNNNNNNNNNNNNNNNNNNNNNNNNNNNNNNNNNNNNNNNNNNNNNNNNNNNNNNNNNNNNNNNNNNNNNNNNNNNNNNNNNNNNNNNNNNNNNNNNNNNNNNNNNNNNNNNNNNNNNNNNNNNNNNNNNNNNNNNNNNNNNNNNNNNNNNNNNNNNNNNNNNNNNNNNNNNNNNNNNNNNNNNNNNNNNNNNNNNNNNNNNNNNNNNNNNNNNNNNNNNNNNNNNNNNNNNNNNNNNNNNNNNNNNNNNNNNNNNNNNNNNAUAAAAAAACUUAUCGUGAAAAAAUGAUCAAAAUACCCCCAAAACUUUUUGGGGGUAUUUUGGUCAAUUUAUUUAUUGUAAAAUAUUUUUUUGAUAUUUUUCGAAGAUUCCCCUAUUUUUGAUGAACACACGUCUAAAAUUUCAAAGUGAUUUGGAUUUGUAGAAAAUAAAAUAAAAUUCAAACACUACCGGACAUCCUUGAUCGUUAGAUUGGCCUAGAUUCAAUCUGGGCCGUUGGGCUCAUAUGUUCAUAUGAGCUAGUAGGCUAAUCCCAGCUUUUUCCAUAUAUAUAUCCUGAUCUUGAUUAAUUAAGGAUAACCAAAUGAAGAGAGACAAAGAAGUAUGGAUAGAUAGAUAAUCGAAGAAAGAGAGGCAUAUAUGUAUAUAUAUGUGUGCGUGUGUGUGUGUGUGUGUUGGCUUCCUUUUUUUUUUUAAUUUAGUAGGUGUUGGAAAAGAAAGAAGUCACUAGAGAUUAGAUAUGUACGAGGGAACAUUAACUAGUGUGCGGAUAAUUAGUGGAGAGACAAAUGAGUUCUCAGUGACAAUGGGCCUAUAUCAGGGGUCAGCACUGAGCACAUAGCUCUUUGUUUUGGUUAUGAAAGAGUUAACUAAGCAAGAUGAUGUAUUGUGGUGUAUGUUGUUUGCGGAUGAUAUAGUUUUAAUCGAUGAGAUUAGAGGCGGUAUCAACGCAAUAAAACGUUGGAGGGAUGCUAUAAAAUUUAAAGGUUUAAAACUAGCUUGACUAAAACUAAAUAUAUUGGAUGCAAAUUUAAUAAUAAUAGGAGUAGAAACGAGAAAAUUAAGAUUAAUGGUUAAGAAAUACCUAAAAGAGAUUGUUUCCGAUAUCUAAGGACGAUAAUCUCGAAGAAUGGAGAGAUUGAAGACGAUGUCGCACAUAAAAUUAGAACUAGGUGGGCAAAGUGGAGAUGUGCAUCUAGAGUUUUAUGUGAUUGCUGCAUACGAUUGAUAUUGAAGGGGAAGUUCUAUAGGAUGGUUAUAAGACCAACUAUGAUUUAUGGGAUAGAAUGUUGUGCGGUCAAGAAACGACAUACCCAUAUGAUGAGCAUAGCUAAAAUAAGGAUGUUGAGAAAGAUAAGUGGCAAAAUAAGAAAUGAUAUAAUUCAGAAUGAAUACAUAUGAGGGAACUUAGAUGUGGCUUCAAUAGUCGAUAAGAUAAGGGAAAGUAGACUUACGUGGGCUGGCCAUGUGCAGUAUAGACCUGAUACAACACCAGUUAGGAGGUGCGACUUGGUUCAAGUGGAAAGUUCUAAAAGAGUAAGGGGAAGGCCCAAAAGACACAUAGAUAGUAGUGAGAAAAGAUAUGGUCACUUUUGGUCUUAAUGAGGGUAUGGCUCUUAAUAGAAAAGAAUGGAGGAACAAGAUUAAUGUAGAUGAACCCAAAUAAUAGGGAUAAGGCUUGGAUGAUGUUGACGAUAUAGGGUUUUUCUAUUGUUCACAACCCCUAAUAAUCAUCAUAGUCUUCUCCCAUUAAACCCUACUAGGUUACAUUUAAAAAGGGAUGUGAAUGGUAAACACUACUCAAAGUACCCUUUCUUUAUUCCAUGAUUUAUAUAAUAAGGGCAUUUUUAUCAUUGGGAAGGGUGUUAGUAAUAUCUUUACUAAAAGGCAAAGUUGUUUGUCAUCUCAAGAAGGGCAUUCUUGAAAUAUUUACUAAAAGACAAGGGCAAUUGUAAUAAUAAAGAACCUAGAGUAUCACUCCAUAUUUACACUCGUCUUUUAAUAAAACUAUCAGCAAUACCCUGUUUAAUGACAAAAGUGCCUUUACUUGUUUUACAGUUUUGGAAUAAAGAAAUGAACUAAGGUAAUUCCUAAAUAUAACCUAUAGAAUUUCAUGGGGUGUGAAUAAUAGGAAAACCCAUAAAUAUGUGUCUGUGUGCGUGUGCAUGGGGGGAGAGAUAGAGAGAGAGAGAGAGAAAGAGAGAGAGAGGUUUGCAUACCUGAAAUCCCAACAUGGAUGUUAAACGGUUGCUUUGCAAGCUAAAUUUACGGAUGCAUUUCAGCCCACAAAGUUGCACUUCUCGGAUACGGUUUCGUCCAAGCCAGAGUUCUUGCAAGUUUGUCAAAUUCUGCAAGUUCUCCAUGACCUGGAAUUGGGAAGAUUUUCCACAACAAUUACCAAAAACAAGAAAGACAGUGAGCUCCAAGUUGCCCAAAAGAGGCACUAUACAUAGCUCAGUAUAAUAGGGCCUUUUCAAAAAGGAAAGCAUAUUAAGUCCAAUGAAUUAUGGGAAGUCAUAGUUCACUAGGAUUAUGAGCAUUUGAUGAAUGAUAAAUGGUCAAGGAGAGAGAGGGGAUCCACUAGAAAGGACACGACCCAAUGGUGGGUCUUAGCAUGCUUCCCUCAUAAGAAUAGUCAAGUGCUCACCCGCAAUCUGUUUGAACCCAAUUCAAGAAUUCUUAGUUCAUGUAAGUGAUCAAGCUCCACCAUCUUGGUCACUUCAUUCUUGGAAACAUAGAGCUCUUGAAGCAUGCUUGAAACUUUGGAUACACCCUCCAAGGACGAGAUCUCAUUGAAUGAUGCAUCAAAUACAAGAAGAUUUCUGAAAAUGCUCACAUCUGGUAUCUUGGUAAGCUUGUUAUCUCUAAGCACAAGUUCCUAUCAAGCACAAAAACAAGGGGAGAAAAGCCCAUAAAAAAAAUUGUCAAUCAGAGUGAAGAAAAAAGGAUAGAGCUUUAUCAAUAACAUUAAAGAUAAAACAAUGAAAAACUACAAACAAAAAUAGGUAGAAAAUAAGAACAACUUAAGUGAUAACUCAGGGUGGAGAAAAAAAUAUUAGGAUGAGAAAGUAAUUAUGAACUAUAAAAAUAGUAAUAAAGACUAACUUUGUCCAGAAUUAUAAGAUAUCCAGGGUAAAGCAAAGGUUACAAGAUUAGUGAUAAAGUUUACAUGGUGUCUCUCAAACUCAUCUUACGUGGUUAUAUGGCAGUGUAGAAGUGUCUCAAAAAGAACACAUUUCAGCUCAUUCAACAUCGUCAUCAUUUCUUUCUUCAGCCCUCAUCAUUUUUAUCGGGUUGUACGAAUCACCACCCCCAAAACCAAUAAAACAUGAAUAAGAGAAGAACUCCUCUAACAUCCAUUUUAUUUCUUUCAUUGGUUCUUUUCGUACUUAAUAUGAUCACAAAUAAACAAAACAAAGCUCUCAAAAGAAGAUAUUUAUAGAGAUGGGAAAGGUUUCUCUACUUCCCCUACAGCAUAGAAGAUCUAUGCUUCCCCUAGCAUCCAGCCGUCCAAUUUUGAUCAAGAGAGCCACUCACCGUUUGAUCUUAGAUCCGACGUCUCACAGUAUUUUAUUUUUAGUUUUUUUUAUACGAAUUGUAUGAAUAUGAAAUUCGUACGUGCCAUCUUCUCAUUGGGGUGCACCUAUAAAAAGUAUUAAAAAUAUUUUUUUGAUAAAAUAUAAUGACCAAAAUACCCCUUGAAAAUUUCAGGGGUAUUUUGGUCAUUUUAUUUUAUUGGAAAUAUUUUUUUAAUAUUUUUUGUUAGUGCGAGUUUAAUAGACGAUUGGACGUCCAAAAUUUGAUGUCAAAAUAGAUUAUAGAAAAAUUUAAAAAUAAAAUAGUGUAGAGACGUGACGUUGUGAUUGGGGCAAUCUUAGCCCUCCAUUCAGAAUGGACGGUUGGAUAAGGGGAAGUAUAUAAGUUUUAUGUUGUAGGGGAAGCAUAGAAAGCUUGCCCCUCAAUAGGCAUCCACCAUUCAAUAAACGACUGCACCAUAGUAAUUAAAAUAGAUUAUAGAAAAAUUUAAAAAUAAAAUAGUGUAGAGACGUGACGUUGUGAUUGGGGCAAUCUUAGCCCUCCAUUCAGAAUGGACGGUUGGAUAAGGGGAAGUAUAUAAGUUUUAUGUUGUAGGGGAAGCAUAGAAAGCUUGCCCCUCAAUAGGCAUCCGCCAUUCAAUAAACGACUGCACCAUAGUAAUUAAAAUCCUAGAUCAGUGAGCAGUAUAACCAUUUAAAGACUUAAUUUCCUAAGACACCCAGUUAGACAAAAUACCAACCCUUGAUCGGGAGAUGGUUUAACCAUACGCAAAGCUUCAAAAGCAAUGCGGGGAACAGUGAUUGAUAGGUUUCUAAUAGAACUAGGCUUGUGGAAGCCUUCAAUGGGAGGAAGGAUUACCUUGAUUAGGUCAGCAUCUACCUGUUUAUUGUAUGUCAAUCUUCUCAAUUCAAGCCGCAGAUGCAAAUACAAUUUAGAGGCUAAGGAAACAGUUUUUAUGGAUUGGGUCGAUGAAAAUUAAAGAUUUCACCUAGUGAGUUGGCUUAGUGUAUGCAAGCCAAAAGGUAAGGGUACGCUGAUUCAGAAGUCUCAGGCUCUGUUAAAAAAGUGGUGGUGGAAACAUGGGAUGGAACCAGUCCACCUAUGAAAGUGGGUAGUGUUGAGUAAACACAAUGAGGAUGAUUAUGGAAGGCUCGUAAAAGAACAUCGUACAAAAGUCAAGCUAUAUAGGGCGUGGAAUCGUAUCAAUAGCAGUUGGCCUACCUUCAUAAGCAAAUACAAACUUACAAAGAAUGCAGGUGGCAAUGGCAGGCUCAAUCAGUUGGGUUAGAGAAAUAGUUGGGGUCACAUCCGCUUAGCAAAACGUACCCAGAGAUGUAUACUCUGGCCACAAGGCCGGAGUAACCAGACUUCAAAGAUUUCCAAAAUUGAUGUACAAGAGACAAGUUCAUGUACACCAGACGAUAUAAAUAUACUAAGACCGAAGAAGAAAAACAAGGUGAAAAUUAUAGUUUUGGAAACUCUCUCUCUAGAUAAAGCGUCUGCUUCUUCGUCUAUCUCUCUACAUGACAAGUUACCUUCAACUUAGCCACACUCUCCAACAUUUCUUCCAUUAUCUUUCAUGGACAAGCCUCCUUGCCCCCCACUUGAUGACAUCGAGGCAGUCUCCCUCUACGAGGACUGCCUCCUGCCUUGUAGAUACCAUAAUCCAAUAAGAAGUGACCUUGCCUCCACCACAUUUGAGCAACAGACAUGCAGGGGCCCAUAAUAGGUCACUACAUUCCUGCCUUGAUGGUUCCUCAGCAAACCUCCUAUCCCAGCUAGACAUCGGUUGCCCUUCAAGCAUCGAUCAAAGUUUAGUUUAAGGUACCCCUUCGGUGGAUGACUCCACCGCAAUGACAUUCCUGGCUUCUACAAUUCUGCCCCACUGAUUUCCUUCCAGUUUGUUUAGAAGUCCGUCAGACUAUAACCCCAGGACCUCACCCAUGAAAAGACUGCACAUCUGACUUGUUCCCUAUGAUAUCCACCCUCUAUGUUUGUUACCGAAAUGCCAAAUGCCUAUUGUUUCUUUCCAACCGAAGUUUCCACAGUGACUGCUAGUUAUGUGAAGUCACCAUAAAAUGAGACCCACUUCCACUCUGAGCAAAGGAGCGGCAGACCAAUGAGCUAAAAGAGCUUCAACAAAGACAGGUUGGACCCAUGAGAAUUCAAAAGGAAUCAGAACAAAGGACCAAAUAUUUCCAGCGUAGUGGCAGUGCAAGAAGUGAUUUACUCCUUCAACGCCACCCUUGCAGAAGAUACAGGCAUUGGGGAUUCACAAGCCUCUUCUCAUAAGAUGACGAACAAUAGUCCAUACUCUGUCCAGAGCCACUAACCAGCCAAAAGCUUGGACUUUUGGAUGUUCAUGCAUUGAAAAUACUCUGGAAACAACUAAAUUUUCCUCCGGACACCACUCUAAAAUCCAGUGCUUAGAUCUCAUUGAGAAGACACCUUUGGGAUCAGGGUCCAAAUCAGCAGAUUUUAUUUGCUUGGCAUGAAGAGCAAAUUGGGGAGGUCCCUUUGCAGCUUGGUAAAGACCUCAGUGUCCUCCUCUUUGAGUGCUCUCCUAAGGCAGGGUGUCCAAGUCGUUUGAUGCCCAGUUUCUUCAGAUACUUCAGCUACUGUGAUAUCAGGUCUUGUAGCCAAAGUAAAUAAGGCCAGGGAUUCCAUGCUAAGAGGGUUUGGAGUGAGCCAGUGAUCGCGUGUUUGUCUGCCGUCUCCAAGCUCCCCUCUCACAUAGAAGAGACUCUGGAAAGGCUCAGGUUUAGAUGCCAUAUGGAUUCCUGUCCUGCAUCAUGCUCUAAAGGACAAUCAGAUCACAGCUCAUACAAAGAAAGACUAACAGUUGCAGAGUUUCUUUCACUUGCCAAGAUGCAAUGAUGCUUUGAUCAGGGAACCACAGAGUAAAGGAGUGCUUUAAGUGAUGCCAAUGUAUAAAAUCUUAAAAAGGUGUAGUGCUGGAAACUAUGUGGUUCAAAGAGUUUGGUCAAUCCUAGGCCCCCAUAAGACUCAAGGUUUCUAAUGGUUAGACGGGGUAGAUAAGGUGCUGACAAUCGAUCAUCUGGAAGAAAGAUGCCUGCUCAUCCCUACAUAUGCUUCCUGUUUAAAAAGAACAACAAAAUUUAAGAAAUUGUUAUUAUAUUGGCCCUUUGCCGACUGCACGGUACAUGGGUGACACUUGUCUCGAUUAAGGAUAUGAUGCCACAAUGGUUUACACCACCAUUGCCAAGGUUAGUCUGAUUUUUGUGGCGACCAACCUUGCUGAAGGAGAACUUCUCCGCAGUUGGGAAAUGCAUCUCCCCACAAACAUAUUAAGGAAGUGAUCAUGGUCCAGUAUCUAUAAUUGAUUAUUUUCUAAUUGUUGUGCUUUCUCCCUGGAAUUUCCUCCAAUAUACGUUCCUUGUAUUCCAUGCCCUUCCACCACAUAUCAAUGACAUUUUUCCAAGUUUCCCAAAGUGUUUCUAACAAGAUUCCAAGCCACCAUUUUCUUCUACUUUAUGCUUUUUCCAUAUGAUGCUCCAAACAUUUUCAUGCAUGAGAAUCCCCAAUUUCUCAUCCAUGUCUCUGAUGUUUCUAUAUUGUGUUCUUUCAUACAAUUUAUUGUAGUCUUUCAAAUGUUCCCAUUUCCCUAAUCUCUUUUUUGAAUAAUGAGUUCCAUAGCGGCAUAAAAUGUCUCCAAGAGGCAUCUACCAUUCCGCCAAUUGUGUACCCAAAACUAAACAUCGGAUUUGAGGUCAUAUGACAACGUCAAGUUCCAAAAAGUGAAGGAAAACCAAACAACAAAGCAAAAACCGUCACGCUUAGAUAUUCUUAGAUAUGGAUAAAGGAAGUCCAACUAUGUAGUAGAUACCCAGAAACCUUUCAAGACAGAAGAGUAUAAAGACAAAGAAAGAUGAGAAACAUUUAUCAAUAUCAUGUACCUAAUAUUAUCACAAGGAAAUGGAAAGAUUCAAACAAACAAAGCAAAUGAGAUAUGUUUCCUCAAACAAUAUCUUGACCAUAACUAUCCUGAUUUGUAUCAGUAGCAGCAUUUUUAUUCAUAAUACUACCACCAGACAAUAACAUCAAAAUGACCAUUAACAUGAAAAAUAAUAGAAAUAAUUACAGCCCAAUAGCUAUUCUUGGCAUCAUUGGCAAGCUAUAGUUGGCACUUUCUUUUCUUUUUUUUUGAUAUUUAUAGCAUUGAGGAAAUACUGGACAUAUAGUAACCCGUUCAGAUCAACUAAGAAACAGAUGAUGGAGAAAAAAAAUGAAUUAACAGAAAUUAACAGAAGGAAACAAGUAUUUUUUAUCAAGAUGGAACAGAAUGGUGCUAGUUUUUUCUUUUCUCUUUUUCUUUCUUUUCUUCUUUUUUGAGAGAGAAAAGUUAUAGUGAUUAAAAUGAACAAGUUACAAGCUAGUCAAACUAGUUAUUCAUCAUAGAUGAAUUGAUGAAAUAAUCAAAUCAACUAAAUUAAUCGUUUUUCUUCAAAAAACAAACAAAUUUAAUCAUAAGAAUGUCAAGAUAAAAAAGAAAAAAUUUGGAUUUUAUGCUAGGAAUCAAACCCAACAAACUGAAUGAAUCAAUAAAAAAAAGUUCAAAAUCAACAAAACAAAAUGCGGGCUUUCAUCAAUAAAUAAACUAACAGAGAAAGAAACCAAAAUGAAUCAAUAUGAGUUUGUGGGUUUUCAUAAGAGCUCACCAGGAGGCCAGAAAUUGCAGUCCAAUGGCAAAGCGGCUCAACCCCUUCAUCAGAGAAGAGAUUUUGCCUGAGAAAAAGCUUCUUCAGCUGCCUUAGCUGCCCAAUUCGGGGAUCCAGUGAAGAUAAACGAUUUGCAGUCAAGUCAAGCUCUACAAGAGACGAUGGGAGUUCGACUCCCUGUAAGUCAUGGAGUUGAAAGCUUGUAAGAUCAAGGUAGUUGGCCGAAUCAAUACUAUCUUCGGGUGCUUCUUCCGUUUUUGCUCCAUUGUUCAAUACCUCCUCUGCUUUUGCCCCAUUACUGGGAGCCUCUUCUGGGUUAUCUGCCAUUUGAAAGGAGACUAGAGAGAUGGGAAUUGGGGUUUGGAUAGAAGAGAGAGAAUGAAAGGAGAAGAGUGAAAUAUGGGGAUUGAGAGAGAGAGGGAAAAAAGAAUAGAGACUUCAGGAGUUGGAAAAGUAUAAGUGCACAGAGAAAAUCAUCCAAAAAGGGCAAUGAAAGAAAAGGGCGAGAUUUGAAGAGAAGUUGGGUAAAAACCAACAUGCGUUUGUGCUCUCUCCUUUGAGCAAGCUUUCUAUGAUUCCCCUAGAAAGUUAUAUCCUCCUUUAUCCAACCGUCCAUUUUGAAUGGAGGGUUAAGAUUGUUUCAAUCACAAUGACAAUUCUCUACACUACUUUAUUUUUAAAUUUUUUUCUAUAAACUAUUUUGAUACCAAAUUUUGGACGUUCAAUCUUCUAUUAAACUCGAACUAGCCAAAAAUAUAAAAAAAAACAUUUUCGAUAGUCACUAAAAUACCUUUAAAAGUUUUAAGUGGUAUUUUGAUCAUUAUAUUUUAUCAAAAAAUUAUUUUUAAUAAGUGCAUCCCAAUGAAAAGAUGGCACUUAUCAAAUUUCAUAUGCAUACAAUUUUUAUAAAAAAAAACUAAAAAAAAAAUACUUUGAGAUAUCGUAUCUAAUAUCAAAUGAUAAGUGGCUCUCUUGAUAAAAAAUUGGACGGCUAGAUGAUAGGGGAAGGAUAGAACUUCUAUGAUGUAGAAACCUUUCCCCUCUCCUUCUCUCCCUCCUUAGAGAAAUUGGGCAAAAAUUAAGAGAAGAGGUUUUUAUAAAGCCUAGGCUUGAAAAUCAAAUAAAGUCUCACCUCAAAUCCUUGUUUGGAAAGCACUUUUGGCCACAUAAAUAUUCAUAAUGGUUCUAGAAUCAAUUUUUAACACCACAAUAAAAUUUGAAACUCAAAAAAUUACUGAUUUUGCGGAUCUUUGAACACUUAUUUUUAGGGAGAAAUAAAUAGUCUAGAUAAUUUGUUAAAAUAUACACUAUUUUUUAAAGUUUGAAGUUCUAAUUUUUUCAUAGUCAUAAUGUUCAAGUCGAGAUGAUCCAUGCAAAGAUUUUCCAAUGCUUGGGUUACAAUUUUCAAUAAGUUAUUAGGUGAGGCUUUCCUUAUUUUGAUGGAACUACUGCCCUAUCAAACCAUUUUCCAAAAUUACGAUGCCUUUAUGAAGCCCCUCUCUCUCCCUCUCUGUUUGGAAAUAAUGAAAGAACCAAGAUAGUUUCUCUGUAAGAUAAUCUUUAAUAAGAAUUGAAAAAGAGAAAGUAUAGAAUGAGACCAUUUACAUUUGAUACAAAGUUAUCACAUUAAUUUUGACUAUUGAAUGGGAAAUUGGGUGGCUACAAUUAUUCUAUGGAUUAAACAUAAAUUUCAAAAAAAAAAAUUUCGAACUUUGUAAUUAUAUAAUUAUAAUAAAUUAUGACCACCUUGUAAUUAUAAAGAGUGGCAUUCUCCAUUAGACUCUGACCUCUCAAGCGAAACAGAGAUGAGGCUUAAGUCAAGGAAAGACACCUCUCAACACAAAACCAAUUGUAAAAUAAGGCCUACAAAUUUUAAAAACACCAUUUUUCCCAACUAACUGGGGUUGCAUAAUAUCAUAUUAUUCUCUAAUCCUACGACAAGGUCACAUUCUUAGCCAUCAAAUUUCAAAGCAAGCAACUGAAGUUAUAUUACAAAAGUUCAAAAGAGAAAUUCGACUUUUUAAUGAAAAAUUCUUAUAGUGAGCUCUUUAUACCAAAAGUAAAUGGCCUUAGAGCAUGCCUUUCCUUUCAUUUCCUAUUGAAAUAUCUGCUCCAUUGCAUGAGACCUUACCAAACACUAACCCAUUGACCAAUCUAGGAGCUUUAUGAGGUAAUGCACUUUAAUGCAUCAGCAGUGAAAAAGGUUUGACAAAUUUCAACUAAGAAACAUGAUAAGAGAGAGAAUAAGAAUGUUCCCCAAAGAACUCCACCUAAGGAAACCAAGAAAGCUAAUCACAUGACAAUUGCAUUGAAUCAAAAUCUCUCUCACACAAAUUAAAUCAUAACAACAAACCCUGGAGAGGAUCUCACCUUCCGUUGGCGAUUACAAAUGCCAUCUCUCUAUCUCUCUCUCCUUAUAACUGGAACAUGAAUUUGCACCUCCCGCCCCCACCACACACUCAAUAUCUAACAUACAUAUACAUUUUAUAUCUGCUUGCUUUAACCUCAAAUUCCCCCACCCACCCCCCCCCCCCUUCCCGUCUCCUUUUCUCACGAACAUGCACACACACACACAUCAUCUGAAGGCAAAAUUUAAGUUAACAGAUCCAAUCCAAAAAGAUUAGGGAGAGGCCUCAUCAAUGGGUGCCCAGAAAUUGCACUCAUUCAGAUGCCAAACAUUAAAUCCAUAAUUUUUGAGACGACCGACUUUGAAGGCGAAGCAAUUGCCCCGGCAUUACGCUGAUUUCCAUCUUGUGACUGUAAAUAAUAAGGUCGGGACGAGGCCCUCAAAAAGCUCAGAGUUGAGCUCCUACUUGAAGAGUGAGGGGGCACAACCAUAAAGGCAUGGUUUAUGGGCUUCUGACUUAGAGCUUGCCUCUGAACGGGGUCCAAUAGCUUCACCCCAACAAUAAGCAAUCCAUUUAUCUGCAUUCCAUUUUUCGCAAGAGCUUUCUGGGCAUCAAAUCGGUUCUGUGAGAGAGAAAGAGAGAGAACAGCAUCAACACCAAUAUACAGCAUGCAAUUUCUGAAUACAAUUAUAUCUUAGAGAUCAGGGGCAGUUCACAUACAAAGAAAUCUUGGAAGAAAUCAACUAAGCUCAAAUUAAAAGUAAGCAAGCAAUUCUAACAUACUGUAUAUGCCCCCCCCCACACAUAUAUAUAUAUACAUGUACAUACAUGUAGAUCUUAUGCGAAGUACAUGGACCCAACAAAUGUUCUCCCAUAAGGACAAAUAAUACUGGCUGAAUUACUUGAGGUAGCCAAUGUACGCUGCGUAACUUUCAACAAACUUAAGCAACAUGAUUGAAGAAACAUAUAUCAAGUGAAACUGCUCAGUUAUUUUAGGAGGAACUGUAGUUAUCGUAUCAAGAACCAGGCACUUAUUCUUAUCGAACCUAUCUAACAACAAAACCACACCAAUAAUAUUAUUUUCUUCUUUUUUCUCUAAUCAAUUGUUUGUCAGAAGAAGCCCCAACAUUGGAUGGUAUUGUAACUCAACAUGAACAUAGGGGAUCACUUAUAAUGAUUCAGCCAUCCUCAUCACAGGGCGUGCUAAACAACAACAUGAACAGACCACUUUUGACAGAGGUCUCUUUUUUAGGCUAUGAAUAAAUGUUAACAUCAUGGAUCGGUGUUUUUCCAUAUCACAAAUUAAUAAGUGGGAAAAACAGUAUCAUGAAUUAGGAAUCAAUAGCUUGUACUAUCAUUGGAUUGCUAUGCGUGUCUAAAAUAACAUGGCUAAUCAUGUAAAGAUAAUUAUACUGCUCCUUUUCCAUCAUUACAUGACAUAUUGUAUAAGCAUGUGCAGUGACGCAAGCAGAAAAGUUUAAACAAAUAUUAUUUGAUGAUAAGCAUAUGGUGACAAUAGUGGAUCCCCUUUGUCUUUCUAGAUUUAGCGCUUAAUAAAGAGUAUGAUAAGCUAUCUUGAUAGACAACAAAAACUGCCAUUGAAUGGUCAUAUGAAUUUCGCAGGUGUGCAACUUAGGUAGUCCUGGUAAAUUACUAGAGAGCGAGAAAGAGUACAGUCCUGCUAAAUUAGUAGAGAGAUAGCACAGUCCUGCUAAUUAGUAGAGAGAGUACAUCUCUAGAGGAACAACAUUGAAACAUAAUGAACGACGUCAUUCAGCCUAUUGCUAACAAUGAAAAUAUGGUUGUUGUACAUGUGAACUUAUUAUUGCACUAGUAGACAACAAACUACUUUCAAACACAUCUCAUUUCUUGAUUUUUCACCAAAAUAAUGUGCAAGAAAUGAAAAAUGUUGGAAUUUUAUAUUUUGAAUGGCUUUCCUCUAAAGCCAUGCAUCAAACACAUGCAGAAGUUUUCUUUCAUAAGUUAAGUUUAACACAUAAAAAGGCAUAAGUAAAGGUUUAGAUGAGACUAGGUAUCCCCCCGAGUGCAAGUGAAGUUGUCGCACAAGCAAAGCUUACCACCAUCGAAACAAGUUUAGAAAUUAUAGGGACGCCAAUGGGACUCUGACAGCAGGGCACAUAGGAAUCUAAAUCAAACAAAAGAAUGAUUCGAAACUUAGAUAAGUGAUAGAUUCAGGGUUGCAGUUACUAUUUGCCUUGAGUAACCAUAGGUAUAUUUCUUGUUAGGGACAACAAAAUGAAUCAACCAACUCCAUAUUUUAGACCUAAAUCUAAUUAAUGUUAGUGAACUACCUCCAUACUCAAUGGUAAAGCUCCAGAAUAUAUUUAAGGAAAAUGCAUUACUCAAGGAAAAGGGCAAAGGAGGGUGCAAUUGCAAGACUCUCUGAGUGUGAAAUUUGAAAAUAGAUGAGGUUAGGGAUUUGAACUCCAUAUGCAUGGGAUGUAGUAUUGCAAGAUUGGAAGCAAAAAAAAUAAACAAUUUCUAAGAUCAGUGAAUUUUUUCCAAUAGUUGCAAUAGUUUGAAAAUGGAGGUAAACACUUUGAAUGAAAAAGACAGGAUCAACAGUUCAUACUUUUCAAUAUUUUUAACUCAUAAGGUCUGAGAACAACAAAACAGCAAUUAGCAUCCCAUUAGAAGUAUGUCAAACCAUCACAAUACUCUUAGCCAUUAAACAUAAGCGGAGACUGCAGAUAAAUUAAAGGAGUAUCAGUGAAAAGAAUAUGGAGACAAGUAUGGUAUAAAAACAAUGGUACCAUUGGAUGCUUAUGAGUGAGAAUAUUCGAUCACGAUCAUUUACGAUGUUAUCAUUUUUGAUAAUAUGCAAUAAUUACAUCACGAUUACCCUUGAGAUCAAAGCAAUAAUCUACCUAUAUGGAGGACAAAAUGAUAACCUGAUAUAGGAUGUGCAUCCAAUUAGCAUCUCUUGGACCUGGUACAUGCUUCAAUAUUAUGCCACACUUUUCAAACUCCUGUAGAACUAAAUUGGUAUCUCCAGGGGAAAAACUGAAAAAAAACAAGAAUGAAUAGAGAACAUGAAUGAGGCAUAUCAGGUCCAUAAUAGUUUGUAUUCAAUUCAAAUCUAUUGAAAUAUUACUUCAUCAAACUUUCCAAAGAGUAGGAAGUGACACAGUUAACAGGGGGGGAACUUAGCUCAUAGAAUUAUCCAAGAACAAGAAUGUAAUAGAUGGUGAUAGGAAGGGAAAUGAGUUAGGAUACAAGGAAACGUCCAAAUAACUAGCAAAUAAAUGCAUGGCCAGCAUCAUUAAAAAAAAAAUAUUCAUAGAUGCAUUUGAAGCACAAUGGCCAACAAAUGCCUAGAAACCAAAUAUCAUUAAAGAGUGCAUAUUGCACCCUAAUAUCAUAAUAUUCCAGAAUAAUAUAGAAUCUAUUGUAAUCUUAAUUAUGUUAGUUCACGUGCAAUCUUUUUUUUUUUUUUUGGUAAUUUAGUGGGGAAGACAGACCCCUACCCGUUUUUUAUGUGCAACGUUUGAUAGGGUAAAAUCAUAUCUUGAAAUAUCCAAAAUUCCAAAUAGCCCCCUAAAUAUCUAAUCCCAAAAAAUUCCAACUUACAGUUGAAUUUUGCGGGAUUGAACCUCUCCAUCAUUUUUUUUUUAUUUUUUUGCAUCCUCCCUCCCUCCUGGAAUUCUUAAAAACCCUUCUCCUGUCUCAGUGCCAACCUACUUUCUGUUGCAUUCUUUGGAUUGGAGUAAAUGGUUAUGGUUUGUUUCAGAAUUUGUCUGGUUUGUGACUUUCUACUGGUUAGAAACCCAAAUCUAUGAAUAAAGGGAACUCGAGAUCAUUCCGUAGUCUUUUGCAAGGCAGAUUUUCGGGCCUAUUAUAAAAUCUUCAUCAGCUUCUGCACAACUAGUUUCUAAGGGUGAAGUCCUUGAUACCGUCCCAAAACUUUGUUCAUCUGCAAUUUCUAAAGAAAAAGCAACAGUGUUCUCCUUGUCCUAAAUAACAUCAAAAAAGCCUUUCCCAUGGGUUAUGAGAGUUCGCCAUGCCCUUAAUGUGGGAACCCUCAUAAACUAUGGCUUUAAUGGUAUUUGUAGAGAGAGCAAAACUGUAAUGGUUUUGAAGCUACAUCGAGAUGUGAAAGGAAGAGGGCUUUCUCUUACUACAAUAAGCAAAUGUUCUCUCUCCCCAUUGUGUUGUGCUUCUAUGAAAUUGUUAAUUAUUGUGCAUAAUACAGACAGGCAGUCAAACAUGUAUAAAAAUAUAAAAUUCAUAUAUAUAUAUGAAGCUAGGUAACAUCUUUAUUCAAAUUUCUAAAAAUUUGAAUAUUCAAAUCUUGUUUUGGCAAACAUGCCCUAAAGAAAUGCUUGGAAAAGGAAUGACACGGGGAACUUGAAGAAACAGGAUGACAAAAUACAUGACAAACCUAGACAAUUUGCCAAGUAAACAGAUUUCUUACAAGCUGGGGAGAAAAGAAGAUGAUGAUUCACAAAACGGCUCAAUGGAAAUAAAUUUGCCACUCAUUAUCAAUAAUAAAGUUCCGGCCAAUAAUGGAAUAACUAAAAUGGAUCUUGAAUAAGAGCUAAUAGCAAACAUGCACUCAUGCAAAGCAAAAUCAAUAAUUAGUAGAAAUGCUUUUUACUUGGCUUGGCCGCAGAACUCGGCCACCGCCCUGGCCGAGUUACUCAGAAGAGUCGGAGUUUACGUGCUCAAGUCCGCACCAAGCUCAAAAAUGGAAAAGAGAAAGUUAUAGAAAAUAAGGAAAAUUAUUUAAAAACCAGUUAAAAUAGGAAAAAAGUAAAUUAAUAAACAAUAGAAAUGCAUGUAGAAGACAACAAGAAGUUCUCUGAAAGUAAAAAAAUGAAAAACCAUCUGAACAUCAUUUCUGUCGGAAAAAUGACAAAAUAUAGAGAAACUAAGAAGAAUAUCUUUAGAAAAAUAUAAAACCCUAAAAUAAACAGAAGUACAUCUAAGUCAUUUAUACUUGAUUCAAUCAAACAUUAAAUCAAUUAUAAACUAACUCUACUCAUAUUACUAUAAAACUAUAAAAUGAUUUAAACAUUUAAUUGUGCUAAAUUUCAAAGUGUAGUAGUGAACAAAGCAUACCCAAAAACUGUAACCCAUUCUUCCUCAGCCAAAUCACCAACAGGCACAGUAUUCCUCUGCAAUUCAGGCCUCGCAACCUCUCUAGGGGGUGGAAGAGUAAGCAAAGCAACAGUUUGUUGUUGUACUUCAACAACACCAGUAACAGGUGAACCCCUCCCCUUCUCCACUCCAUUAAUGACCUCUUUUGGAGGUGACCACCAACCAGAACCAGGUGUCAUGGCAUAUGAACUGGUGGCCUCGGGUGACCCAUGUAUCAUUUUGCCCUUCAUUGAAGAGAGGUUUGGGGUAUGCUCCAGCGACCCAUUUACCAUUUUGCCCCUCAUUGGAGAGGGAGAAUCUCGACCAGAGGACCUGAAUUCGGGUGAGGUUGGGUAAUCGACGAUGCUUGGUUCCGGUGAAAAUUCAACUCGAUCAUCAAGGGUAAAAAGCGGCGGAGGGGGAGGGUCAGCACCCCCGAAAUUUUCUUUCCAUAGAGCUGAAACGGCAGCUGCUUGCCCAGGGGUGGAGAAUCUCCCCCUUUGAGUGGAUAUGGGAGAAGCCAAGUCCUUGAACAACAAGGAUUGCUUUCCAGUUUUUGUACUUCUUUGAGCUGAAGCACUCAUUUUUUUCUCUCUAGGUUUUGCAGGGUUUAAGGUAUAUUUAGGGGAACGAAUUCUGAUUUCAGUGUGAUUGCAAUGGUGGGACUGUUUCUUAGGUUUUGGGAGUUUGCUUCUACGCUAUUUGAGCAAAAUAGAGACCAUGGAAAGUGAAGCGAGUACGCUAGGGCAAAGAUGACAACACCUUGGAGAGAAUUCAGUAUGGAUAUGUCUUGAAAUGGGGAGGAAACUAGGGCAAAGCUGAGAAAGUAAAUGACCUUUGAGAUAAUUGAGUAUGACAAUUUCUUGAAAUGGCAAAGCUGAUAUGAUGAUUGAGAAACUUGGAUAUGACGAUUCGUGUAAGUAAACAACGCCUUUAACUGAAACAGAUGCAGAACAGAGAUGGAGAAAAUGAAGAAUGUAAUGUGAGAAAGUGGGGGAUGAAGAGCUCAAUACCUGACUGUUUAUGUCCAACUAGUCCUUCAAAAAAUGAAAUAGACCCCGUAACUGAAAGUGAUGAGAUAGAGACCACAGAAUACCUCUACACUCGUACAAAACUCAAGCUUGCAAGACGAAUCAAAGCCAGAGAGAGCAAUUCAGGUUGAAAAAACAAGAUUACCAGAAACAAAACCCUGGGAGAGAGAGAGAGAGAGAGAGGGGGGUGGGGUAGGGGGGUAUAAUAGAAUUUGAUUACCGAAACUGUAAGCAAAUGGUGGAAGCUGGUGUAAGGUUUUCAUUGAAAGAGGAGAAUAGCAUUGGAAUUUGAAUUUGAAGUUGCAGAAGACUAGGGUUAGGGUUUUAGAAGUUGAAGAAGAAAAGGGAGGGAUGGACGAAAAUUUGAAAAAGGAAUCUGAGCUCCUUUUUGUUUCCCCCCAAAGUUCUUCUCUCAAAUUUGCGAGGGGAGCAAAACCCUAAUUUCUAUAAAGUAAUGUAGGAAAUUAGGAACUGAGCAACUACUACAAGGAGUGGGAAAACAUCAUUUGUGAUUUGCGGGUUAGGCCCCCACAAAAUAACUAACAAAGGGCGUUAAAACGUCUAAGUGAAUCUACGAGGGUUUUAUUAUAUACUUUUUCUAUCUUAAAAUAUUUGUUAUUAUAUACUUCUCUAUCUUAAAAUACCCCAAAAUAUUUGUUCAGACCCGUAAACAAGGAUAUGUUUUAGGACGCGGUUAGCUUGUGGGCCACGGACUCACAUGUAAAAAUACGGGCCCUUUAAUAAUUAAUUUUUAAAAUAAUAUUUGAUCUUAUUUUUUAAUGAAUAUAUGAUCUUUAAUAUGAUGAUUAUUAAUAUGUAAAAAUAAAUAAAUUUAAAAAACUAAAAGUGAUAUUUUUUUAGAGAAACUAUUUGAACAAUUUAUUUUACUUUUUUUUUUUUUGGAGGAAUGUUAAGGGACUUUGUUUUGGUGGAUGGUGUAAAUCUCUAGCCCGCAUAGUAGCGGGUGCGGGUUUGGCCGCACUAAACAAUUUUCCUGUUUUUUUUAAAGGGUAUGGUUUGUAUAAAGUUGAGGCUUUGAACAAUCAAAAUAAAUAACACAUUCAAAUAGUGUCAAUAAAUGUGAUUUCAAUAUUGGGAAUCUUUGGGAGAACCUUAAGAUACUUUCAUCUUUAAUUAUGAAAUUUAAAGCUUAAAAAAUAGUGUUGAUCGAGUAGUUCUAUGAAAAUCUUGAAAAUUGACGGUCCAAAAAUAUUGUAUUAUUUCCAAAAUUAGAAAUCCAUUUUUUUUUCAUGUCCGUGCAUAUUGAGGUUGAGAUGAUCAAUUUGAGGUCAGUUGAGCAUCAAAGUAACUUCUUUUAGUGAAAUUUUUGACGUUCAUCAUAAUUUGAUUGUUUAAAGCUUCACACUUAUAUAAACUUUUUCUUUUUAAUUAAAAACCAUGAGAUAUAUAUUUGUCAUGGAUCAAAUUACUAAACUGACCCUUCUUAUUCAGAGUUUACCCUAAAUAAAUACUAUUUGAAUAUUUUUAAUACUUUUGUUGAUAAUGUGCCUAAGUUAGCUGGAGUUUAUAAAAUAAAUCCCCUUGUGUUGAUUGGGAUCAUUUGAUCCCUAGGGGUUUGACCACUUAAAAUAAUAUUUUUCAUGUAAUUAGAGAAGAUGAAGCAUAUCUUUAUGAAAACUAAUAAUUGGUGAUUUUCCAUGUUCCCACCAAGACUAUUAUCAUAAUUAUUGAUAAUACUAAUCAAAUAUCAAGUAGUGCUUUCUACAGUUUAGGAAAAAAUUUAUAUAAAUAUGCAACCUUAUAAUGUAGAACUACGAAUGCACCUCAAAAAUCCAUCGGAAAAAGGCAGUUUUUAAUGUUGAAAAACCAUUUGAUUGAUCAUCUCGACAUCGAGAUGUAUGACCAUGAAAAAUAACAAAAUUUUAAGUCUAAAAAAUAAUGCAUUUUACAACAUAUUAUCUAUAUCGUUCAUUUUCAAGAUUUUCAUAUGUUUAUAGAUCUACUUGAUUUUAACCAUUUUUUAAAUUUAAAUUUUUAUAAUUAGAUAUAAAAAUAGAUUUUGAGACAUUCCUAAUAACAUUUUACAUCAAAAUUAAAAACCAUGAUAAAAUUUGAAGGUGCACCUUACCUCUACAGCUACAGAUGCACCUGUAUGCCAACUGCACCCUUAUAGUUAUGAUAUGUUUAUGUGAUACGGUUUAUUUUCUUAGUGGUAAACUCCAUGUCCCAAAUUUAAAAGGUUAUUGGGUCAAAUUGCAACUUGGGCCUAUUUGAAAUGUUUCACUAACGAAUUGCAGUAAUUUGAAAUGUUUCACUAACGAAUUGUAGUAAUUUGACUCUCAUGAGAUGUUUGCUUCACAAAUUUGAAUUGAUCUCCGAUUGUAAUUUAGCUCUUAAGUUGAGUUUUUAGUUUAUGCUUCCGCUUCGGUCAUUGGUCUGGUUAUUCCAACAACUAUUGCCACCACUAACAUUGCACUCCAACACCACCGCCAUGUAGCAAGCACUAUCUUGAUACCUCCACCUGUUUCGCCACAACCAUUGCCAUCUUCCCCACCACUACUACCGCUGCCUAGAGACCACCAACACUACCAUCAUUCCACCAUCCGUGUUGUUUCCAUCAUUGCCAUCACCACCACCAUCACCAUCACCACUUUGCCGCCGCUUUUGUCCAACUUUGCCACCACCACCACUCCACCACCUCCUAACAAUGGCCACCUCCACCACCACUCUACCAUUACCUACAUUGCCGCAACCACGACCACCAGUAUCAACACUCUACCAGCUCCACUACAACCAACAAAAUUACUGUUGUACCACUACUAGGUUGUUGCUGUCACCACCACUACUACUACUGUGAGAACAAGCCAUUUUGGUAUUUAGCAUUGAUUUUAAGAGUUUGAAGGAUUCGAUCCCUUGGAAAAUCAAAUCAAAAUGUCGGUUCCUCUUCGUUCUAGAGUAGGGUACCCUACACCUUGGCCUUGCUCUGAACCUACGGCAGGUGGAGCAUUUUCUUCAUUUAGCUUGGAGUCUUAGGAUUGGUAAUGCUCACUACAACAAAAAUAAUUAUUGCCCAAUGCUGUAGAGCAUAUACAAUGCCAUGUAGCUUGAUUGGGUUGGGUUGAAUUGGCCACUUGAUCACUACUGCCUGUUUGGAAUUAUGAACCAGUAUUUAAUUAAAGAAAUGUACAUUGUGGGAUUACUUAUUUUCGGUGUAAGGAGGUCACAAUUAUUAUUGAUCAUUAAAUGUAAAAUCAGGUGAUUGGAGAUGUAUCAUUGAUUGCACACAAAGUCUAAAAAGAGUUUUUUGAAAGUUAUAAUACACUCAAAUCUAUCGCAUUCACAUUCAAUGCUAAGAGUGAUUAUGACCUAUUUGUACCGAAAUAAAAUUAACUUGUAGUAUACAAUCACGUUAGUCUAUCCAAAAAAGCUAGUAGUUGGGUGGACCCCAUCCAAUAGUGUUAGGAUUGAUCCAUCCUUGAUCAAUCUAAAACAAUCCAAUCCAAACUAUGUCAAAUCUACUCAAUUGCACAUGGACCGACAUGACUUGAAUUAGGGUUGACAUACAUGCACUAUCUUGGAUUGAACACACGCAUACUUACCCAAGCCAGACCAAGAUUAGGCCCAAGUCAAGUGGACCUAGAUCGACCACUAGGUCCAAACCAACUACCUUCUCUCUAAAAUUUUAGCCUAUGAAAGAUCUACCGUAUUUAAAUGCAAUAUGAACCUAAGUGUGGCUUUAUCUAUAAACGAAAAAUAAAUACAGCCAUAAUAGCACUUAUGCACCAGAUCACAUCAUAACUCUAAACUUAAACACAAUUUAUAUAAGAAAAAAAGCUUGAUUUUAAGUGGUAAUUUAUUGACACUAGCAACACUACAUAUUAAUUUCCAUGAUAACAUACAAGGAGCAAUAGUGGAUUUGAAAGCACUUAAACGGAAUCAGAAUAUGUUUCAGGCAGUUCAAUGAAAAUUUUCCUCUCUCCUCUCUCUAUAAGUUCGAACACAGUUUUCUACCCCCGCUGAGCUUCCAAGCUCCGGCACUUGCAGAGGAAACUCUCUCUCUCUAAAAAUAUAUUUGUUAUUGCACUCUCUUUCUAAAAAUAUAUUUGUUAUUGCACUCUACCCUCUCUUUAAAAAUCUCUUUGUUGUUGCUCUCUCUCGAGAAAUAUUCGCGGUCCUCUUUCAUGCUCAACAACAUUUCACUCGGGGUUAGUCUGAUCCCUCAGGGAUAUUGUUUCCGAGAUGUGUUUCAGUUCAUCUUCUUUACUAUAAACCUCAGCGAGAAAUUAUCGAGCAUUCGUCUUUAUCUUUCUCUCUCUAGGAAAUUUACAGUUAAUGCAAUCAACUUUGAUGCUCAAUACUUCACCCAGAGCCCAAGUUCUUCUCCGCCAAACUCUGUGUCUCCAAAACGGGUUACGCUUCAUUUCUUCGACUCUGAGCUUUAGAGAGAGACCAAGAAGAGUUCUGAAUUCUAGAGAGAGAAAUAGAGAAAUAACCAUCCAGGACCUGCACAAAUCAUGUGAAGAAGGUCACAUGAGAGUGGCUGUUAAAAUACUAGGAAUCCUUGGAAAGCAGGGAAUAAGACCAGAUUACGGAACCUACGCAAAACUUCUAAAUAGGUGUAUCAGUAUGAAGGCUUUAUCAGAAGGAAAGGCCAUUCACCAUCACAUGCUGAGUAGUGCUAUAAAACUGGAUGUACAUUUCAGAAACCUUUUAAUCACUAUGUACAGUAAAUGUGGUUUCUUUAAUGGUGCACAAAGAGUGUUUGAGAAAAUGCCUGAAAAAAAUGUGAUUUCUUGGACCUCUGUGAUUUCUGGUUUGGCUCAGAGUGGAAAGAGAAACCAAGCGUUGGAUCAUUUUUGUUUGAUGAGGAGAGAAGGGGUUAGGCCAAAUGAGACUACUUUCGCAACUGUAAUGGGGUUGUGUUCGUUAAUGGAGAGGCUUGACUUUGGGAUGAGUUUGCAUUGUCUUUCUGUCAAAUAUGGCCUCUUUCUUGAUGUUUUCAUAGGUAGUGGGAUCAUCGUUUUGUACACUAGAUGUGGCUUCAUUCAAAAUGCUCAGAAAGUCUUUGACGAGAUGCCAGUGAGAGAUGUGGUAUCUUGGAAUGCUAUGAUUUCUGGGUAUUCACAAAAUGGGUUUCACAAAGAAGCAAUUUCUAUGCUUUCUCAGAUGUUAUUAAGCGAUACCCAAUUGAAUAAUUUUACAGUGGCUAGUGUUCUCAAGGCUUGUGGUGGUAUCGGGUUUCACAUAAUCGGUGAGUCCAUUCAUGGCUGCAUUGUGAAACUUGGGUUUGAUUGGGAUGUGUUUGUAUGUGGGUCUCUUAUCGAUAUGUAUGCAAAGUGUAGCUUUUUGGAGGAAGCUCGAGUGGUUUUUGAUACCAUGGAUUUUAGGGAUCUUGUUUCUUGGAAUACCAUGAUCACUGGAUAUGCUCAGAAUGAUCUUGGAGAAGAGGCUUUAGAGCUUUUCUCACGGUUACAAAUUGAAGGAUUUGUGCCUAACCAGUUCACAUAUGCCAGCAUUUUCAAAGCUUUGGCUGGAAUUGGUGAUGGUCAUGGCUAUGGCAGGUGCUUCCAUGCUCAAGUGAUCAAGACUGGAUGGUUAUCAUCGGAUGUAUUUGUAGGCACUGCCCUUGUGGACAUGUAUGCCAAAAGUUCUGACAUGAUAGAUGCACAUAGGGUUUUUGAAGAGAUGAGGAAAAGGAACCUUGUAUCAUGCAACACUCUCAUUACUGGUUAUAGUUUAACCGGUUCUUACAAAGAGGCCAUUGGAGUCUACUGCAAGUUGAGAAGAGAACCCAUGAGGCCCGACCCAUUUACUUUCACUGGCCUUCUCUCUUCUUGCUCUAUGUCCAAGGCCAUAGUUGAUGGGGUUCAGAUCCAUGACCAUGUUAUCAAGUUUGGUUUUGAUUCACAUGUAUCGGUAGGGAAUUCUCUAGUCGACCUCUAUUCUAAGUGUGGCCAAAUGGAAAAUGCUUCAAAGGCUUAUCGCUCAAUAGCCACUCCAAAUGCCAUUUCUUGGGCUGCGAUCAUUUCAGGUUUUAGUCAAAAUGGUCAGGAAGAAAACGCCCUAAAAUUAUUUCGGGAAAUGCAUCAACUCUCACAAGACCCUGAUGAGUUCAUCUUUACCAGUGUUCUCAAAGCAUCAGCUAGUUGUGCUGCAAUGGAACAAGGGAAGCACAUCCAUGCUUAUGUGAUCAAAUUAGGGUUAGAGUCUACUGUCUUUGUUGGAAGUGCACUGGUUGACAUGUAUUCUAAAUGUGGGAAAUUGGAAUAUUCAUGCAAGGUUUUCGAGAGAAUGCCCGAGAAGAAUGUUGUCUCUUGGAAUGCCAUAAUAAUGGGUUAUGCUCAGCAUGGACUGGGUCAACAUUCUCUUCGAAUAUUUGAAGAAAUGCAACACCUUAAUGUAAAACCCACCUCCAUAACCUUCAUUGGCAUCCUCUUUGCUUGUAGUCAUAUAGGUCUUGUCGAUAAAGGGUGGCAAUAUUUCAAUCUUAUGACCAACUACUAUGGAAUCACACCCACUAUUGAGCAUUACACAUGUAUGGUUGACCUUCUUGGACGAGCUGGGUAUUUAGAUGAAUCUGAAGCCUUUUUAGAGAAUUCCCCAUAUAAAUCAGAAGCUGCUAUUUGGAGGUCCCUUCUUGCUUCAUGUCGAAUCCAUGGGAACAUAGAGGUUGGGGUUAGAGCUGCCAAUCAUUGUAUGGCAUUAGAACCGGAUGAGUCUUCAAAUUAUGUGCUUUUAUCUAACAUUUAUGCUUCAAAAAAGAUGUGGGGUGAUGCCGCAUUCAUACGGAGCUUGAUGGCAGAGAGGGGUGUUGAGAAGGAGCCAGGGUGUAGCUGGAUUGAGGCUCAAGACAAGGUUCACGUGUUUGUUUCAGAAGAUAGAGCACACCUAUUAAAGGAGAAGAUAUUUGAGAAGUUGGAUAACUUGGUGACGCAGAUGAAAUUGGCUGGUUAUGUCCCAGAUACAAGCUUUGUGCUUCAUGAUGUGGAUGAAAAGCAAAAGGAAUAUCGGCUUCUUCAUCACAGUGAGAAGAUGGCUGUUGCUUUUGGACUGAUGUCCACUCCAUGUGGUACACCCAUAAGGAUAGUCAAGAAUCUCAGAGUAUGUGGAGAUUGUCACAAUGCUCUGAAGUAUGCAUCUUUGGUUACAGAAAGAGAAAUCAUAGUGAGAGAUACAAAUAGAUUCCAUCACUUCAAGAAUGGUGUGUGCUCUUGUGGGGAUUAUUGGUGAAUUGUAUGUUCUUUUCCUUCAUGAGAUCAGUGACGGUUCAAUCACCCGAUCAACAGAUGGCAACAAAGUUGUUUACUGGGCUUUCGUCCAGCAGCAAUGGACCUAUUGAUGGUCACAUGCAAUUAACUGACGAAAAUAAUAAUUUGGUAAGUGAAUUUUUUAACGGAUUUUAACAAUUUCUGACCCUUUGAUGGUCCAUUUUUUGUAAUUGUAUUUAAUUUUCCUUCUCCUCACCCCCUGCUUUUUUGGUACUCUUAGCACCUGUUUCUGGGAUGCCUGUAUACAUUUUAUGUAAAUUCGCUUUUGACUAAUAUACAAAGUUAACAGUUCUCAAAUGUUUUUUUUAAACGGAUUUGUAUACUUAUUGAUGAAUUUAAUUAGUCACUAUUUUCGAAUUUAUUCUUUAGGUCACAUGUUUUGGUUACAUUAAAUAUGAAUUUGGAAAUUCAUGGGUCUGGAAAUAGGAUAUGUUUUAAUGAAGAUAUUUAGUGACUAUAUUAUUCUCUUGGGAACUUUAGGAUCUCCAGAACAGUCAGUUGGGGAAGUCAUUGCAGUUAAAUGUAGCUGUAUUCUUUUCUAGAUACUUACUCUUGGGGACAAGUUGUGGAGGAAAAGUGGAUGUUUUUUCCAAAAUUUUAUUUAUCUUUGUUAUAAAAAGUAUGAGCAUCAUCUGAAAAUUGGUGCAUUCUUUUAGGAUCAUUGGCGAUAUGUUUCUCGCCCUCUCCUUAUAUCAGAGCAAAGAGAAUACAUAUACAUAGCUGAUGAAGUGAACUUUCACCUUCUGUCAACCAGAAUAACUGAUGAAGAGGACUGAGCUUGGAUACAAGGUGUGGACAUAUCUAUUCUAGAAGUUCCUGCAAGAUAAAGUAUAAUUUUUCCCAGGCAUAUCAAAUCUUUUGCAUUUAGUGGUUCUCUGCUUCCCUACAUCCAUUUAGAUAUUCUUGCAUGCAUAUUACCUUUCAAAAGAAAAAGUAGUUCCUCUUUGCAUAUUAUUAAAUUUUCAUGUAUCAUCAUCAUCAUCAUCAGUCUUUUCCCAAUUAUUUGGGGUCGACUAUAUGAAUCCUGGUCUGCCAUUCUAGUCAAUCAAUGGUCAUUACCCUCAGUGAGGCCAUACGUCCCCAUAUUGUUUCUCACUACUGCCAACUAUAUCUUUUUGGGCCUAUCCCUUGUCCUUUUUGAGCUUUCUACUUGAACCAACUCACACAUGCCUAGCCUACAAGUGUUGUAUUGGGUUUGCGCUGCACAUACCUAGCCCACCGAAGUCUACAUUAUCUCAUCUUAUUGCUUAUUAGAUCCGCAUCUAAGUUAUUUAUUUUGAAUUCUAUCCCUUCUUGUCUUUUUAUCAUCUAUCUCAACAUCCUCAUCUCAGCUCCACUCAUCCUAUGGGUAUGUUGUUUCUUGAGUGCCCAACAUUUUGCCCCAUAAAGCAACACUGGUCUUAAGCUGUCCAAUAGAACUUAUUUUUCAGCUUCAUUGGUAUGCGGCGAUCACAUAAAACUCCAGUUGCACAUCUCCAUCUCGCCCACCCAACUCUAGUUCUAUGUGCGACUUCUUCCUUAAUCUUGCUAUUUUUCUGGAUUAUCGACCAAGAUAUAGAAAAUGCGGUUUUUUUGGUAUUUCUUGGCUGUCAAUGUUAAGUACUUUCUCAUCUCUAUUCCUAUUAUUACUAAACUUACAUUUUCAUAUACACCCACAUAACUUCACCAAAUAGAGCACCUCACUAAGAACUGUGGAGCCACCACAUCCCUAAAGCUUCACUAUUCUUUAGCAAAGUACUAAAUGAGGGGUGGCCCCAUGCUUUUUCGUGGUGCUCUAGUUUAUAUGUAGGUGUUGGUGGGAGGGGCAAAUUAUUGAGUCUCCACAAGAAGUGCGAGGGGCGACGGUAUGCGUUUUUAAUUAUAUUGCCCCUUUUAAUUUGCAAAUAUAAGAACUAGAGAAUGCAACAAUGAGAUGCUUACUUGACCCAUUUUGUCUCUUUUCAAUUUGACCAGAAAUUUUAUAUUUCUUUGCUAUUUCUAUAUUGGCUUUCUAGCUCUCUUUUUGUUAUCUAAAUUUCUUUUUCUAUAUUAUAAUACCCAAAUUUUGGGCGCGAACAAUUUUCACUUGUUAAUGACACAUUUAUACACAUUCAAUAUUCUGAUUGCCAUUUUUAAAGCGGUUGCCGAUUUAAAUGGAAUUUACUUAGUCAGGUUCUUUUGUAGACUAAUUUUGUCUCAUUUGUUUGAUUAUAACAUUUUGGCUUUGAAUUCUGGCCAGUGGGAUGAUGCAGGAGUAUACAUUUAUGAAGGUUUGAGAAAUUUUGAUGCAGUGAAAAGCACACAAAACAUAAUGCUGUGAAAUAUAGAGGUUAAGUAUUGUUGGCUUACCGACUGUAAAAGGUAGGUACAAACUAAUUAAUUCUGUCUAAUUCAUGCUAUUUGUUUAAUUAUUGGCUGCAAAACAAUAAUUAUAUAAAUUGACUAAUCUAUUCAUUUCAGGAGUCAAAAACUACAAGUUCAAUGGCCUUUUUUUUUUUUUUGACAUGACGAUUAUUGUCUUUGUCAUGGGGAAGUGAAUUCUGGUGUUCGUACAAGUUGUCUUUAGAAUGUUAAACUCUCAUUCUAUUUUAUUACAUUAUUGUUUGAGUAUUAUAUUUUGGUUUCCAUCAGAGCAUAAUAUAUUGUAGUCUUCAUGUUUCAGAUGAAACAAUGCAUCUUUGUGUUUGAGGCAUGCUAUAUGUUGGGCUUUCUUGGGUUACGUUUAAUUGUGUUUGGAGGGUUUGAGAAUAUCUCUUGAGAUAUCCUUGGCUUUUAACUUUAAUAUCAUAGUUCACCAGCUGUGGGGCGACUUUGCAUGGUUAGAUUUCUAAUGACAAAAACUUGUGAUUCCUAUUGACAAAACCUUGUGACUCGGUUUCUACACCAACUUUUGCCUCCCCCUAGAGUGAGUCUCCACCUUUAUUUAUUUAAUUAUUUGAUACUGAAAAGUUCCUGUAUGUGUCAUGAAAUGAUUGAAUGUUUUCCUUCUUGAGUUGCUCAUGUGCCAAUUGGAUUUGUUUUUGCGUUUCCAACCAUUGAGCUGGCCAUUUGAGUUUGAGUCCUGAGUUAGACACUCUAAUUUUCCAUGGUGACUCUACUUUAUAGACACCAAUAAUGUAUUAUUCUAGAUUGGAAUUGGUAAAAGCUAUAUUACCAAAGGCUAAUUGCGGCAUUAAUUGAUUAUAAUGUGCAUUUUGAAUUCCAUAUAUCCCCAGUAAAAUUUUUGUUACUUAAUUCCAGUUGGUUAUCUAAUCAUCUUAUGGGCUUUAAUUUCAUUGAAAGUCAGUGUGUGAAAAUUUCUUAGCUUCAGAAUCUAAGGUUUGUUCCUUAAAUGAAUUAAAUUAUUAAAUCAUUAAAGAGAUAAAAGUUAUCUUUCAGAAUAGUAGUCUUCUUUGCGCAUGGCAUCAAACCAAUGUCAUCAUCAUCCGAGCCUUAUUCCAACUAUUUGCCUUAUCCUAAUGGCAUCAAACCAAUGCCAUUCUCCUCAAAUUGGAAUGUAAGAAAAUUCAAAAAAUUGUGGAUGAACCACACAGGGAUACUGCAUGCUGUGACUAUAUUUGUCUUGAAACUUCCUCUGGGUAGAUAGGAAUCGGGUUUGGGUCGAGACGGUAGCUGCUGGGUUUUCAUAGCAGAAUGUCUCAAGUUCCAUUCCUAUAUAACCUUGUACAAAAAAAAAAAAAAAAAAAACUCCUUUGGGUAUAUAGUUUAGAAAUUCAGCAUUGGAUAUUGAGUAAAUAUUAAUAAAGUAAUGAAUUUCUUUUGUGAAGCUAGACAGAGAAAUAAUGUGGUGUUUAAGAGGUUCCAUGAGAAAAGCACUUGUUUGGAUCAUUGAUAAUGUUUCAUCAUUUAUUCAUGAAAGAGUUUGGCAGCUGAUUCACAGAGGGAAAGUAUAUCAUAAUCCAAUGAUUUAUGUUUAUGGUAUGGUGUGUGUAUCCACUCUCUGCUCUAUGAUUGAAUGGUGUAGAUUAACCACAGUUCUGAGCAACUAUUCUCCUUCUCUUUUUCUUUUUAUUUUGCAACUGUCCUAAGCAACUAUACCCAGGAGAAAAUGACAUAUUGGUGAACCUGCUAGAAGGGGCAGAGUUUUGGGUAUAAUUAGAAGUUGUGUUCUAAAUUGGCCAACUCAACUCACACUUGGCCUCGGCACCCUGCAGAGGUAAAUAUUGUGUAUGAAAGGGGGACUUGUAGGAAACCUGUACAGUGCUCGUCCUGAGCACCGUUCUCUCAAAACAAAAAAUAAAAAGGGGGCAUAAAUCUGCCACAUUUUUUCAUUUUCCUUACCCAUACCUCCUCCACCCAUGCUUUAUGGAAUUCUUAGGCUGGGGCCUGGAGUCAAGGAGUUGUGACCGAGGCUUGUUUGCCACCCUUGGAGGCUAGUACUAGCAGUUUCGUGGUUCCUGACAACCCAGAGGAAGCACGGAGAGAGAUUUUCUGAAUGGGUGCAGCAAUUCAACAAUACAAGGAACAGUGGGUUGAUAAAGAUGUUUCAAUGAAUCUAGACAAGGAGAUUAGAUGAGUCCUGAUUAAUGGCUCAGACCAGUGUUUUAAAAUUUGCCAGUCUAGAUUGGGAAUCAUCGAUCUGGAUCAGGAAUCGGUGGGGAUCGACCUAGUUCCGAAUAUUGGUUAGGGGAGCCAGGGUGAAGAUUUUGGGACGUGAGAAAAAGGACAAGGGGGUUGGCUGUUUGAAGGGCAAUAUGUCUGAUUGCUAAGGAAUCUAGUCAGCAUGUUUGGUGUGUUAUGGGGGAUGGGAGUAGAAUUGUGUUUGGGGGGACUUGUGGUGUGGGAUAGGUGUUGCGGGAUGGGGAAUGAUAUGUGACAUUAACGAGAGUGGCAGUUAACCCCAGUGUGUGGGUGGAGGAGUCGUCUUGCAUGGGGGAGAGGUCAGGUUCCUAGGUUUUCUGGGUAUUUAAAAGAAGAGGAGAUGAAUGAAUUGCUAAGAUGUUGUUGGAACUUGAAAAUAUAUCUGUGCCAUUAGCAACAAAAGAUAGAUGCAGUUAUGGCAGAUAUUGGAGGUAAUUUGAUGGCUAGGUAAUAUGAUGGCUAAGCCAUUUUACAGGUUCCUAAUAAGGGAGGUGGGUAUUGAGAGUCCUGCCAUGGCUAGGAUGGUGUGGGGUAAAGGCUUCAUUCUGGGUGUGGUGUUUAGCUGGUUAGCUUUUAAAGAUAGAAUUCUUGCAUCAGAUAACCUUCAAAAGUGGGCCCUCUAUUUUUGUAAGUGGGGGACCGAAAUGGUGAGACAUAGCAGUGGCGUUAUGUCUUACAUGUUAGGUUCUUUUGGGAUGGAACGUGUUAUGUCAGCAUCAGUGGAGGAAUUUCUGAGAGGAUAUUUUUUCUCUGCCUAUAGGGGGAAGAUGAUGCGGAGACUUUGUAGUCUUGCUAUGAUGCAGGGUUUGUGGAAGGAAAGAACAAUUUGACCUUUCAAGGAUGGGGUGUAUGGGUGGGUCUCUGCUCUCCAAGAAAGGAUCCAUGACAGUUCUUUUACUCGGGCACAGUCAUCGCCUGAGUUUUGGGGCUAUCAAGCAGUGGGUUUUGUGAUAAGAUGUUGGUGAUACUUCAACCCCCACAUCACUAAACCCACUGGUAUAUUGGUCAGGAUAGUUAUAUGUUGAAGCUGAAAUUUGAUGGUGUAGAGGGGUAAUCUGGGCUUGUAUUGGAGGUGUAUCUACAGAUGCAGCAGUCUUAAAUUAGGAGAAAUUCGGGUCUCUAGUGUUAUUGUGAUUCAACUGAGGCUGAGGCACAGUCAUUGCUGGUAGGAUUGAGAACAUGUCCUGCUUGUAUACCCUAGCCACUAGAGAUGGAAGGAGCCUCAAUGUUAUAAGAUGAGUUUGGAAGAAGCAAUCAAUUCAUUGAUGUUUGUCGAUGUUUUUUGUGGAGAUUUUCAAUGUUUGCUAUUUGUGACAGUAAAACAAUCUCAUUCCUAUAUAUCCUUCUGGAGGUGAAUGAGGAGACGGAUGCACUAGCCAAUGUAGGGGUGGACAAGGAAGAUCUAAUUGUGCAUACUUGGAUUGUUUUUGUUGUUUUCUUUUUUAUUUAAUUUUCUUUUCUUUAUACUUUUAUUCUCUUUCUGUUCAGUCUUUUCCUGUCCUAUUCCAUUUGUAAGCCCUAUUUAGGGGCAUAAACUUGUAUCAUAUAAUUUACUCUGAUAAAAUUUCAUUACCCAUCAGAUAAAAACUUUGGGACUUAAAUCUUAAUCGCCUGUCAUCAAGGAUUGACGGUGGAUUCCCUCCUGCUGUAUCAUAUGACCACCAUUGGUGUAUGGUAUAGGCUCCAAAGCAAUGCAACAAUUUCAAUUGAUUAGACUAAGUGCAGAUGACUAAGCCUUUGAAGCUCUGAUAUCUAAUUAUCCGAGUUUCAAUAUAUCCUCAUGUGAAUAUAUGAACUCUGUGAAUGGGAACAUAAUUGGAUGUAAGUGCUUCACAAUUAUGUCGAGAAAUAUAAAGCGAUUUGUUCUUCAGAAUAACUAAUAUAAGAGAAAUAAAAGUUUUUCUUUUGAGUAUUUAUAAACACUUCGAAAUUUAUGCUGAAUGUUUUGAGUUCCAUUCAGUUAUGAAGGUUAAUCUUGGAAUCAAGUCAUCAUGCUAUCAGCUAGAGACAUUUUAGUGGUGUUUGUCUAUUUAUAUUUCUAUCCUCUAGAAAAUCCAGAAAUAUUUGUAACACUUUACAUACUAAGUUCCCAGAAAAACUAAGAGGUAGGGCUGGCAAUGGGCCAGGCCCAGGUCUUGCCCUGCAGGCUAGAGCCUUACCUGUUGGAAGUCAUGGGCCAGACAUGAGCUCCAGCCAUCCGUUUAUAUUUAGGGGAUUAAUGCUUUCCAUUGUGAUUAUUUAUUUGUGUGUGUGUGUGUGUGAGAGAGAGAGAGAGAGAGAGAGAGAGAGAGAGAGAGAGACACACUAACUCUUCGUUGUUGUUAGUUAGUUAGUAGUAGUACGUACUACGUACGACCACGUAGACGACACUACCUACCUACCUUACGUUUACCGUUACGUAGUAGNNNNNNNNNNNNNNNNNNNNNNNNNNNNNNNNNNNNNNNNNNNNNNNNNNNNNNNNNNNNNNNNNNNNNNNNNNNNNNNNNNNNNNNNNNNNNNNNNNNNNNNNNNNNNNNNNNNNNNNNNNNNNNNNNNNNNNNNNNNNNNNNNNNNNNNNNNNNNNNNNNNNNNNNNNNNNNNNNNNNNNNNNNNNNNNNNNNNNNNNNNNNNNNNNNNNNNNNNNNNNNNNGGAGAGAGAGAGAGAGAGAGGAGCAUAAACCCAUCUUUUGUGUAUUUGGUAUUUGAUAGACCUAUAGCCCACAUGGAGCAUCCACCACUUUGUUCCCAGUGAUGAAUGGUGGAGACUAGCUGUGUUUGCACAAAUACCCAUUAUAUGUUAUUUGGAGCUGUGGACUGCUCCUGUGGUGUACCAUAUACCAUGCACCAGAGAUGAUAUAUUUUUAUAUGGGAUUGUUUGCUAUGGGGCCAUGUAUUUUUGUUACGAGGAAGUCACAAUUAUUUUUAGCCAUUAGAUGUCAAAUUGGAUGGCUUGGGGUGUGUCACGAAGUUUGAUAUUUUUUUUAACUUUAAGUUUAGUUAAUGACACUCUUACAACCACCCGGUUUGAAAUUUGACGGACAACAGUGAUUGUGAUCUUCUUAUACCAUGAGUAAAUCGUCUCUUUGUAUAUUUUUCUUUUUUAUAUAGAAUCAUAGAUGGCAAGUAUGUCGAAAGGGAUACAAUUUAAUAUAAAUAAAAGGAAUCCCAAAAUCAUUGAUUUGAAAUGGAAGGAAAUUAGUACAUCUAACAAAACUUGCCACAUGGAAAAUUGGAAGACUGCGUCAGUUCUAUUUAAAAUUUUUUAUGGAAUAGAUUCAAGAUACAAUGAGAAGUUGGUGGAGUGUCGCAACAUGAUGUCUUGAGUUUUAUUAUUAUUACGGGUAGAAGAUUUUUUCUUUGUUGAUAAGAAAAAAAAAAAAAAUCAACUUUAAAAAAUGUGUAAUACACUUGACACAUAUUAGAAAGAGAUACCAAAGGCAGGGGGAUAAAAGGCAAGGUUCUUGGACACCAAAAAUAUGAGAGGCAGGGUUCUUGAACAAGACAUGGAAUGCUUUCAAGUGUUUGAAACAUAAAGAGUGUUUGGAGUGCCGACUUUAAAAUCAGUUUUAAGGCAUUUUGUUAAGAAGAAAGAGGAAUCAAGACAAAAUAAUGAAAGAGGAGUGAAUGGAAACAGAAAAAAAAAAAAAAGAUCACUUCAACUUCAAAGAAACGUCGUAUAUUAGGAUAACGUGGUAUAUUAGGUUAAGGAAGAUAUCGAAGUGCCUCUAGCGCAUGGCUCAACUUUUGACAUCUGCAGAUUUCGUCAUUUUUAAUUAAAAAAAGAAAAGAAAAGGACAAUUGUUGUGAAGAAAAAAAAGGAGGCAAAGUAACCCAGUAUCGAUAGUUUUUAGUAAAAGAAGAAAAACAUUUUAGUAAAAGAAGAAAAACAAAAAGUAUGAAAGUAAAUCAUAAGAGAUUAAAUUAUUGGUCAUAAAUAUUUAAAGGGUGUUGUUUGCAUAAGGUUGCAAACUUAAACAAUGACAAUAAGGCUCAUCUCCAAAUUUUUUUCAUAAAUUAGAGUUUUGGUGAAAAAAUUCUUAAGAUGGGUUGAGAAUCCAUUUUCAAAUUAAGUAGAUUUAUAAUCACAUGAAAAUUUUGAAAAUUGACCGUCCAAACAAUGUAUUGCAAGAUGUAUUAUUUUUGAGACCUGAAAUCUUUUUUUUCGUCAAAUUCAUACAUCUCGGUGUUGAGAUUAUCAAUUAAAAGAUUUUUUGAAUAUUAAAAUACGUUUUUUUUAUAUGAGGUUGCAAUCUUAUAUAAAUUUUUCUAUUUUUAAAUAGACCCAAAUUAUUAUUUGGCUCCAAAAUCGCCUUUCCCUUUACGAAGCAUUUUCAUUUGUUUCAAUCGCCUUUCCCUUUUUUUUUUUUUUUUUUAAGUUUAAACAUUUUAACCUCAAUUCAAGUAGCGUGCCUUGAUAGGUAUUUAAAAAAAAAAUAAAAAAUAAAAAAUAAAAUAUUAAAUGGCUAAGGGCGAAACUGUCUUUAACUGAAAGCAUGUGGGUAAUUUCGACUGAACAUAGUCUGCAGACUCUGCACCAUAAGAGAGAGAGAUUGGAAGCUACGAAAAAUUCACAUGAAAAGGUAAUACAGAGAGAGAAAGAGAGUUUUGUGAAGAGAGAUGAGAGAGAGAGGAAGAACAAUUAAGAGAGAGAGAUGCACAAACUGCGUUCAUCCCUCACAGCUUCAGUAACCGAACAAUGUUUGGGUUUUGGAGGAGUUCGUCUCCUCAUGUUAAAUCUGUACGCUGUGCUAAGUUUUGGUUUUUUGUGUAAUCUUUUAUUCGUCUUAAACAUCAUUUAGUUGAUACUUGAUUGAUUGAUUCUCUCUCUAACUCGCUUUCUCUUAGUUGAUUGUUCAUUCUCUUUCUCUCUCUAGGAAAAGAGACAAGAACCAUGGCUUGCAAGCAGUUUGAAGCCUGAGAAUUUUGUACCUGGAUUACUCAUAGGUUUUCUUCUUGGAUUACUUUUGGAGUUGCCGAAAAUUUCACGAACCAGUCCAGCUCUGAGGCUUCCAUCUACUUUGAGCAAGAAAAAGAGAUUGCUUUCUCCUUCCUGUGAUGAAGAACUUAAAAUGGUUAAUGUUCUUUUUGUGUUAUCUGAAACAAAAAAAAAAAGAAAAAAAAAAGAAACCUGUACUCUCCUCUGUUUCUUUCUUAGAAAGAUGGUUCUUUUCUGUGGUGCAUUUUAGUUUGUGGCUUUUUUGAGCAAUUGAUUAAAAAUAUACUUUUUUCUUGCCAAAUUUUUAGAUAACUUUAUUAUCAUUAGAGUAGCAACAUUAAAAAACAAAAAAGUGAUUUUAAAUUUAUAAAGGCCUAGAUGUUGAAAUUCGGUCAGUUUAGAUUCAUUGUUGGAGGGUACUCAUUUUAACAAUAUAUAGGGUGCAAAUUGAUUUUUUUUUUAGAUUGAUUAUUGAGAUGAAGAGAGUGUUGG